rnacentral:rRNA from 1 species
UUGGUUAUUUUUUUUUUUAAUGUAUAAAAACUAGGUAGCUUUAUUUUUUUUUUUUUUUGUUUGAAUUCAAAAAUUUGGGUUAAUUUUAAAUAUUUUAAUACCCAAAGUCAUAUUUUCAUAAAAUAGUUUUAGUAUAAAAUUUUUUAGUGAACUGAAACAUCUAAAUAACUAAAUGUUAAAUCAAAAGAGAAUUCGGUAGUAGUGGAGAGCGAAUCUGUAAAUAUUUUAAGUUUAUUUACUAAUGUAAUUAAAAAUUACUUUAAUUUAAAUUUUUUUAAAAAGUAAAUUCAAUGAUUGAAUAUUGAGGUUUUAAAGUAGACCCUCGUUUUUAGUCUUAAAGUUAACCGAUAGUUAAAAAGUACUGUGAAGGAAAGUUGAAAAAGAAACCUAAAAAGGGAUGAAAAGACUUAUUUUUACAUUUAAUAAAAUUUCUAUUUUAGUGCAAAUGUACCUUUUGUAUAAUGAGUCAACGACUUAAUUAUUGCAGCAAGCUUAAUUUUUUAUUUUUUAAGGCGUUUUAGUUGCUAUAAUUAUAACUCGAAACUAAGUGAUCUAACCUUAAGUAAGCUAAAAGGCUGAACUUGUGUAUGUUGCAAAAUCCUAAGAUAACUUAUGGUUAGGGGUGAAAGGCUAAUCAAACUUAGAAAUAGCUAGUUUUCUACGAAAUACAUUUUAGUGUUACGGUUUAUAAGUUUUUUUUAAAGUAUUUUUUUUUUGUAUAAUGGUUACGGAGUACAAGAAAAUUAAUAAUUUAUUAUAAUCUAGCCAGACUUUGAGUGAUAAGGCUGAAAGUCAAGAGGGAAACAGCCCAGAUUAUUAUAUAAGGUCUUAAAAAUAAAUAUAAUUUGCUAAAAGGUUUAAAUUUUUUUUUAAUAGAAAAGAGGUCCGCUUCAAAGCAGCAAAGUUCCUUUAAAAAAAUCGUUAUUGAUUAAGUUCUAAAAUAAAUUUGAAUCAAAGAUUUACGAGAUACUAUAUUUAUUACCGAAUAUAUAAACUUUUUUAAAAGUGGUAGUAGAAUAAAUUAUAUUUUUUUUUAAGAAAUUAAAUUAAAUUCAUGUAUGUUGAUAUGAGUAGCGAUAAAUGAUUUGAGAAAAAUCAUCACCGUAAAAAAUAUUUUUUUUAUGUUAAGGUAAUCUUCAUAGCUUUAAACAGUUUUUAAGUUAUUUAACAGAUUUAAAUGAUAAAAAAUGUUAUUUUUUUAAUAAAUUUAAUUUAUUAAAUAUAAUAAUCAGGAAAUUAUUAAAACUGUAAUUAAUCCGACUCUGGUUUUUUGGUAGAGAAUACUAAGGUGUUUGAAUUAAUAAUUUUGAAGGAACUCGGCAAAUUAACUUUGUAACUUAGGGAUAAAAAGUUCUUAAUGUUAAAAUAACUAAUUUUAAGACUAAGUAAAUUCGAAAAAGCGACUGUUUAAUAAAAACACAGGUCUUUGCAAAUUUUUUUUAAUUAAGUAUAAGGACUGACACCUGCCCGGUGCAAAUAGUAUUUUUUGUUUUAUAUUUUUAAUACUUAGAAACUAUAGUAAACGGCGGCUGUAUACCUGACGGUCCUAAGGUAGCGAAAUUCCUUGUCGGGUAAGUUCCGACCUGCAUGAAUGGUGUAACGACUUUUUCGCUGUCUCCAAAAUUAUUUCAGCGAAAUUGAAUUUUUUGUGAAGAUGCAAAAUUUUUGUAGUUAGACGGAAAGACCCUAUGCACCUUUACUAUAAAUUUAUAAUGUUUUAUUAAUUUAUUGUGCAGUAUAAAUGGUAAUUUAAUUUUUUUUCUUUCAAAAGAAAAAUAAAAUUUAAGUGAAAUACCAUUCUUUUUUUUGUUAGUAAAAAUAAAUUUUUUUUUAUAUAAAAUUAUUUAUUAUUUUAAAUUUGGUAGUUUGGCUGGGGCGGCCACCUUCUAAAAAGUACCGGAGGUGCAUAUAAGUUUUUAUUUUAACUUUUUUAAAGGUAAUACUUUAUUAAAAACUGACUGCUUUCUUUUUUAACUGAUAGGUUUAGCAGGGAAAUUUAUUUCGAUUAAAGUGACCCGAUAAUUUUUUGUAUUUUAAUUAUCGAUCAACAGAUAAAAGGUACGCUAGGGAUAACAGGCUUAUAAUUCUUGAGAGUUCAUAUUGACGGGAUUGUUUGGCACCUCGAUGUCGUCUUAUCAUAUCCUAGAGCAGAAGAAGGCUCUAAGGGUUUGGCUGUUCGCCAAUUAAAAUGUUACAUGAGAUGGGUUUAGAACGUUGUAAAACAGUUUGGUCCCUAUCUGCUACAAUUAUAUAAUUAAUUAAAGUUAAAGAUUUAGUACGAGAGGACUGAUUUUUAUGACCCUCUGAUGAGUUAGUUGUUUUUAGGAUUUAAAGCAUCGCUGUUUAGUUAAGGUCGAUUUUAAUAACUGCUGUUUUAAUAAGUAGGAAAUUUUCUUUAAUAUUAUAAUGUUUGUUUUUAAGUUAACGCAAAAUAGGCUGUGUGUUAAAAUUGAGUGUAAAUUUAAUUUUAUUUAAACAGUACUAAAUUUUUAAUUUUUUAGUUAAUAUAGU